GCUGCAAUGGCUGAGUGAUUAAGGUGUUAGACUUAAAAUCCAAUGGGGUCGCUCCACACAGGUUCGAACCUUGCUUGCUGCU